rnacentral:lncRNA from 1 species
AAGCGAUUCCACGGAAGCUGGCCGAUCCCUUCGACUAUGGCGGAGGGCAUAUCGAUCCUAACCGAGCAAUGGAUCCUGGACUUAUUUAUGAUAUCGAUCCAAAUGAUUACGUCAACUUCUUUCGCUACACAAACCGUGCAUCGAACAGUACUAGUGGCCAAAAUCACUUGAAGCUGCCCUCAGGCGCCAUUCCUGACCUCAGGAAAUCUGGAGUGGGUAGCAGCCGUACAUAUGAUCUGAAUCUUCCCUCCAUCUCCAUUCCCGACCUGAAAGAAACGCCUGUGAAAGUGCGAAGAACCGUCACUAAUGUGGGCGACACGCAUGGCCGUAGUGCAGUCUCCAGCCGGUGUUAAGAUGGAAGUGCAGCCAUCUGUUAUACACUUCAGGGCUUCCGGCGAGAAGCUUCACUUUGAGGUGACGUUCACGCCGCUUCACAAGGUGUAGGGAGGCUUCACGUUCGGAAGCUUGACUUGGGUUCAUCGACGUGGGAAGAAUUCGGUACGAAUUCCUCUCGCAGUUCGGGUCAUCAUUCGUGAUUUCUUCUCCGACACCUCCUAAGAUUUAAUCCCAUUGUUUGCCACUGGUUACGCAUUCAAGACAGGAAAUAAUGUUAUGUUGGAUACAUGAAAUAAACCUUUUCACAUAAUAGUAAGUACAUAUACGUAGCAUUUAGGAAAACAUUUGGGUGUAUCUGGAAUCAUUUGAAAACCAAGUGAUAAUGUCUAUCCUAUUAUGGAUAAAUUUGAUGUUAAUGGGAGGAAUCCAUACAAUACAUCUCUCUAUUUUGAUUGUCUUAAGUGAAAAUUUGGUUAUGUAAAUUGGAGCUGGAGUCCGAGCUAAUCUUCUUCCUCUUCCAUAUUUGUCUUUUGAUUAUGUUAGGAUGAUUGAAUCCAAAAUACAUCUAAUCCUAUAAAUAUAUUGGGGGUGUAUUUGAUAAAACUCCUCUAAUACUUAAGUUAGUUUGAGGAUUGAUGCAUUUAUAAUACGCUAAGAGUGAUAAGUCAAAAGUACUAAAAGAAUGUUACUCUUUUUUUAGGAAUCCAUAUGAUAGAGCUUUUUAUAACGUAAAUUUUGGAUCAUUAUACUCGCGAACAUAAAUUGAUGUUGGAUAUGUAUAUUCUUUAAUCUAGGUGAAAUUGUUUUGCAUCAAAUCCAAAAAAUAUAUACUAGACACGAUAGAGUCAUUAACAUUUAGAGAUCAUGACUACAUCUUUCAUACUUGAUGGAAGUGGCAUCGAUGUGUCAUCCUUCUGACAUCGAUAUGUGGGUACUUCCAGAUGUCUGUCACAUGACUAUAAGUGGCAUCAAUGUGUCAUCCUUGAGAUAUCCGUCAUUUAGUUCUAAAGUAUAAAUCACUUGAUUAUAAGGUGUCAGAGUCAUCUUUUUUUAGGUAUUGAUUAUUUUAUUAUAUCAAAUUGAUCUCUCAAUUAUAUCGACAUGAUUGAUUUGAUAAAGUUGGAUAAGGUGACUUUAGAUGUCAAGAAAAGGUAUUGGCAUAACAAUGAUUCAACAUUUUAUCGUCCAUCAAAUACUAAAAAAGAAUGACCCAGGACAUCACGUAGGAUGUAGGAACAAUCUUGAUUUUUUUUUUUUUCGGAUAAGGAUAAUAAGAAACAAUAAUUGUAUAAGGAACUGCUGCAAAUAAAAAUCCACGCAAUAGCAUUUGACGUGAAGACUUCAAGUUUUGGGUUUGGACUCUCUUGAAUCUUUGGUGUCUUAACGUUUUAUGUAAAGUAUAUUACUUUAUGGGUGAGUGAAUGGCCGACAUUAGAAAGUUGGACGUCGACAUGGAUGGAAAGAAAUAUCACGGUAACAGUGGAUGCUUUUUUUAUCAUCUUCUUGUCAUGGCAUCAAUUGGUGGCUACUCCAUCAAAUGAGAAUCGAAGCCACGUCCGUUGUAACCAAUGAGAACAAUAAGCCAUGGAUCUGAAUGCCCCUGUUUGAGUCUUCAAAUUGCAAAUUAAUAUACGGAGGUAUAUAUUUCUUAUACGUGAAUAUAUAUAUAUUCCAAAAUUAGAUGGCGUCAAAACAUAAGAAGUUUUUUGUUUGAACCGAGUCUUUGAACGUAUAUUUUCCUACAUGAUAUAAAAAAAUAUUAGAGAUCCUCUAACAAUCCUUGGCUGACAUAAGUUUCUGAUAGAUGAAUUACUCUUAACAUUAAUUAUUAUUAUUUAAUUAAAAAAGGUUAUAUAAGCACGAUUCAAAGUUAGGAUCUUAUAAUGAUCUAUUAAAAUUUUACCCAACUAAACUGACAAGUGAGUGACAUCUCAUUUAGAGCCAUUUGAUUCAUUGUCCUUUUUGCACCUAUGGCAUAGUAGAUUAUUUUUCAUUCCAAAUUAGGAUAAAUUCGGAUAUGAAAGAUACCGGUGAUGUGUGUUGCACGACUAAUAUGAUAUAUUUCCCUUAUCAUAUAAUAAAAUAAUAUCCUUUUAUUUUCAUUAGUCUUUCAUGUCAACAAAGUUAUCCUUGGCUUAAUUCAUCACAAACAAGCUAUCAUUGACCAUCACCACCAUCGGUCAUGUGGCCUCAUAGGCUUAUAAGUAGCGCCAUUGCAGCAACGCUUCUCCUCCACAGCCACAUGCAAGAUGGGUUACCAGCAUCUUCUAUUCUCUAUGCUUCUACUUCUCAUCCUUUCAAGCUUCAUCCAAAUGGCAGCACUUGGACAUACACCAUCAUCGACCAAGGUCCAUGAGCGUCUCUCUAUCAUCUUAACAUUUGAUGUCCACGGACUAACAUCUCAACGGUCUCUUCUGUGUAGCUUCUGUACAUAGUGUACAUGGGAGAGAGGCAACACGAAGAUCCAGACCUCGUGAUUGCGUCGCACCAUCAUAUGCUGUCUUCCGUACUGGGGAGGUAUGCAUUUUUUGCACCAUAUAUAGUUUGUGUUCGUUUCAUCUUUCUGUCAUAUAUGCUCGAUUACAGGUUAUUCUAAUUGGUGAUUCAGCAAGGAGGAAGCCGUGAGUUCAAUUGUCUACAGCUAUAAGCAUGGCUUCUCGGGCUUUGCAGCCAUGCUUACAGAAUCUCAAGCAGACAAAAUUGCAGGUUCUUCCUUCUUCAAUUUCAGGCCUAUUUUACCAGUGACAAUGGAAGCAAGUUCUAAUAUGAUUAACAGCACAACUGAUGAGAACAAUCCAAAAGAUGCAUGCAAGCAUAUAUCUGAAAUUUGAAGGGACGAUAUUGAUCCAGAUAAAUCAGUAUGUGAAAAUAAAAUCUCAAUCACAAUAGUUUUGUGCUUAAUUACGGGAGAUCAAAAGAUUGAUAUACUCCUGAGAGUCGGCUCUUGUGUCGAGGCCACUAAAACAAAAAAUUGGAAGACUUUAUCUCGACCUUUCAUGUGACUUCAUGGUAUUAAUCUAAAUUAAGCCCUUGAUUCCAUGUUGGGUAAUAAUUUUAUAGUUUGUGAUCACCUUAGAAUCAUGAUAAGAAAGUAGGAUUAAGGUGGGCCUUUGAACGCUUCUUUUUAGCUAAACGUCGGGUCAUUAUCAACCUGUUGAAUCGACAGGCUGCUUAAGAUAAGGUUGGUGUAUCGAGAUGAGAGAGAGAGAGAGAGAGAGAGAGAGAGAGAAUCCAUCACGUGUUUAGUAUAUUAUAUCAUAUUUAUACGUAUACAUAAUCCUUAACUAAGAUGAGUAAGCAACUUGAUCAUAUCGCCCUUUUCUUUUCCGGUUAGAAAUGCCGGAAGUGAUCAGUGUCAAUCCAAGCCGCAGCGUUCCACUGCUUACUACGCGAAGCUGGGACUACCUUGAUCUUGGUUUUGAACAACCCCAACCCACAGGACUACUUGCAAGAGGCAACUUCGGCGAUGGGAUCAUCAUCGGCGUCGUCGACACAGGCAAGCAAUCAUUACCUUAUCGUCAUUGAGGUUGCCCGGUCCUACAAAAUUUUCUUAUAUAGGCAUUUGGCCGGAAUCGAGAAGCUUCGACGACCAUGGUUACGGCCCCGUCCCAUCCCGUUGGAAAGGAACGUGUGAAGUAGGUCAAAACUUCACCGUCAACCACUGCAACCGCAAGAUCAUCGGUGCAAGAUGGUACGCCGGAGGCGUCGACCCUUCUCUCAUCGAAGGAGACUACCAGUCUCCCCGGGAUUCCGAGGGCCACGGAACGCACACGGCUUCCACGGCAGCAGGCUCGUUAGUGAGUGAUGCGAGUUUCCAUGGUCUGGGCGCCGGCACAGCGAGAGGAGGAGCUCCUCGUGCCCGGCUAGCAAUCUACAAGGUAUGCUGGGCAGAAGCAGGGUGUCGCGACGCUGCUGUGCUGAAGGCGAUAGAUGAUGCUAUCCAUGAUGGUGUGGACAUCUUAUCACUCUCACUUGGGCGCUUACUUCACCCAAUCUUUCCUUCCAUACAUGCGGUAGCAAAGGGGAUAACUGUGAUCUUCUCUGGAGGCAAUGAUGGUCCCGUCACCCAGACCAUUGCUAAUGACCUGCCGUGGGCGAUCACGGUGGCAGCCAGCACCAUUGAUCGCUCGUUUCCUACCCUCCUAACCCUCGGAGACAACCGAACCGUGGUGGUGCGAACGUGUGGUUUUCACAGACACGCUAAUACAUUUGAAAGUUUGCAUCUAUUUAUAUUGAAUUAAUUGUUCAUGGUUGCCGCGGCAGGGACAAUCCAUCCUCUAUGAAUCCACCGAUGGAGGAUUCGAAGAGCUAGCAGAUGGUGGGAGGUAACUAUAAUUCGAUUGAAUGUUCUUAAAGAAAAUCGUACCUAGUAAUUUGCAUUUGAUCUAUUGUUGCAGCUGCUCGCGGGACGAUCUGAAUUCGAGUGAUGUAGUCGGAAAGAUUGUGCUCUGUUACCAGCUUGCCAUCGCCUCAAGCUCACCACCCAAGCGACACUUUCCACGGGCUGCCUAUAAUGUUCAGGAAGCUGGAGGGAAGGGCAUUAUCUUUGCACAGUACUCCGCCAACAUCCUCGACUUCAUCGACGUUAUUUGCAACGGCACCGUAUGCGUCUUUGUUGAUUACGAGAUCGGCAAACAAAUAACAGAUUAUGUAACGAAUACAAGGUCUGCUCAACUCGAGUUCAGUUUUCCUAAACAGAUCAGAAUUUUCUUUUCGGGAAUAGUAACCACGAAAGGAAAUUGGCAGAUCCCCCCUGGUGAAGGUGAGCCUAACGCAGGAUAUGGUCGGGAGUGGAGUAAUGUCUCCCAGGGUCGCAGCUUUCUCGUCGAGAGGGCCGAGUAUAUUGUUCCCAGAUCUAGUCAAGGUCGGUGCAAUUUCUAUUAUCUACUAGAAGCUCACAUGUUUGGUUCUUUUCGAUGAACUGGUGUGCUCACCAUCACUGCCUUUGGACAGCCCGAUAUCACAGCUCCCGGAGUCCUUAUCCUGGCCGCAGUGAAAGAUUCCUAUAAGUUUGAGUCUGGAACAUCGAUGUCUUGUCCCCAUGUCUCUGGCGUAGCAGCUCUUCUUAAAGCAGCACAUCCCCAGUGGUCUCCUGCUGCCAUCAAAUCAGCACUCGUCACAACUGGUACGUGGAUUUACCAUCCUGCUUCUGCAUCGUUCCGUAGUUCUUCUCUGUCUGCUUUCCUGAUGUUAAAGGAGCAUGACAACCUCUGUUUUAAGCUCAUACGGCCAAUGCAUACGGCUUCCCCAUAGAAGCAGAGGGAGUUCCUCGAAAGCACGCUGAUCCUUUCGACUUUGGCGGCGGUCACAUCGAUCCUAACAAAGCCGUUGAUCCCGGGCUUAUUUAUGACGUCGAUCCCGAAGACUACUUAAAGUUCUUCAACUGCACUUACGGUCCGUCGACCACUUGUGACUUGGUGGACAGUCGGCUGUAUCACCUGAAUCUGCCCUCCAUCUCCAUUCCCGACCUGAAGAAGACACCACUAACGGUGCGGAGAACCGUGACCAAUGUGGGGGACACGGAUUCCAUUUACAGGGCAAUGGGGGAGUCUCCUCCGGGUGUCAACAUGGUGGUCGAGCCUUCUCUUCUUCAAUUCAAUGCUUCCACGACGACGCACACCUUUGCGGUGACGUUCACGCCGCUUCAGAUGGUGCAAGGGGACUUCAACUUCGGAAGCUUGACAUGGAUUGAUGAUGGGAAGCACGCAGUAAGAAUUCCUAUCGCAGUUCGAGUGAUCAUUCAUGAUUCCUUCUCUGAUACCUCCUAAGUCUUGUGGAGGUAUCCGCUCUACGUCGGGUACUAUCGCAAUAAAUGUUGAAGUCGUAUGGGGAAUAAAAAUUAACGUGGUAGGUUGCUUCUGUUAUCCAAAAAUUGAUGCUACUUUUGGUUUAGGCUGUUGUUUUGUACGCUUCAGUAUUUAGCAUCGACGUACCAUAUAUUGAAUUUGAUAAGAAGAACGAGUAUGAUUAUCACGUAAAAGGAAGAGUCUGAUAAUGUAAGAUAUUCUAUCUUUUACUCAAUUUUUUUAUAACUUUAAAACUCUAUAUAUUUCAUGACCUCAUGUUUAUAUAAUCCCAAAGAUAUAUUAUAUUAAUUGUCCUUAAAAUAAAUCACUCUUUUUUAAAAAAUUCUUUCAAAAUCAAUAGUCAAUUUGGUUUAUCCUUUCAUAGGUAUUUAAUCUAUUUUUUCUCAUGAACCUCUUUCUUGAUGCAAUGAACCUCUCUCUUAAUGCAAUAAAUCUCUCUCUUAAUACAAUUAAUCUAACCUCUCUCUUGAUGCAAUGAACCACUCUUACAAUUAACGUAAUCUCUUUAUGAUACUUUAAUAAGUUUAAGUUUAAUUUUAACAUUCUUCCUCCUUAAACUUGUUCCAUCUAAUAUGCUAAGUUUCUUUCAAAGUUAUUGAAAUAUUCUAAAUUUAAAAGUUUUUGUAAGUAUUUUGGCUAUUUGUUCACUUGUCUUGAUAUGAUAUAGCUCCACUUUUUUGUUUUUGACAUGAUCUCUUAUAAAAUAAAAUCUUGUGUUGAUAUACUUCGAUUUUUUAUAGUAGAUUAGUUUUUUGGCUAAAGAAAUAGCUGAUUUGUUAUUAAUAUAAAUCUUGAUUGACUUCUCCUAUAACAUAUGAAGUUUAUGAAGUAAUCUUCUUAGCUAUAUUGCAUGACAAACAUAAGAAGAUGCUGCUAUAUAUUCUGCUUCAUAACUUGAUAGAGUAAUAAUAUGUUAUUUUUUUUUAAGACUAUAUGAAUAUAGUUUCACCAAAAUAAAAUACAAAUCCAAUUGUACUCUUCCAAUCAUCAUAGCUUUCGGCUUAAUCAUUAUCAGUAUAUCCAAUGAGCUCCAACCUUUUGGAUAAUGAAUAAAAUAUUUCAUAUUCGAUUGUUCCUUUAAUAUAUCGUAAAAUUCUUUUCGUGUCAUUUAAAUGAGAUAUCUUAGGAGCUUCCAUAUAUCUACUUAUUAAAUUAACUCCAAAUAGUAUAUCAGGUCGAGUUCACGUCAAAUACCUUAAAUAUCAAACUAGACUUUUAUAAUAAGUUAGAUUAAUAUAUUUUCCUUCACAUUCUUUGGUUAACUUGGUAUCAUAUUUUAUAGGUGUAUUUGUAGGAUGAUAAUAUUCUAUAGAAAAAUUCUUUAGAACUUCAUUUGCAUAAUUUUCUUAUGAGAUAAAAGUUUCUUUAUUGUCUUGUAUAACUUUGAUAUCGAGAAAAUAAGUUAAUAGGCCCAAGUCGGCCAUCUUAAACUUUUUUUUCAUAGAGUGCUUAAAGGCUUUAAUCAUAGAGCUACUAUUGCCUUUAAAAAUUAAAUCUACAUACAAACAUAUAAAGAAGAUAUUUCCAUCGAGUUAAAUUUCGUAUAGAGAGCAUAUUUAUGUGGACACUUGGAAAACUCAUUUUGAAUAAAAUAAGCAUCUAUCAGAGAAUUCCAUGCUUGUGGGGCUUGUUUAAGCCCAUAAAGUGCUUUUUUUAAUAUAUACCUCUUUAUAAAAAAAUUUAUUAAGAAAUACUGAUUUGACAUCAAUUUGUAAAAUUUUCUAUUUCAUUUGAGCUGCUAGGGAGAUAAGUAAUCUUACUAUCUCCAAUCGAGCAACUAGUGUAAAUAUUUCUUCAUAGUCAAUCCCAUAUUGUUGUUUGUAUCCUUUUGCAACCAAUGAGACCUUAUAUUUCUCCACCUUACCUUUUACAUUUCUUUUUGUUUUGAAGAUCCAUUUAACAUUGAUUGCUUGGUGGUUUUUGAAAGUGUUGUAAGCUCUCAUGUAUCUUUUUUAUUAAUAGCAUGAAUCUCCUCAUUCAUAGCUUAUUGCAUUUUUUUUUUCUCUACUAGCUUUUUCAAAAGUUAAUGGAUCAUAUCUUGCAAAAAGAUAGAGUAAAGAAAGUUCAUCAUUAUUAGUAUCAAUCUUUUGAGUCACAUCAUAUAUCUCUUGAAUCAAUCUUAUUUUUCUUAGGACUUCUUGAAUCAUAUGAUCUAGUUGAUCUAGAUGAUGAUUUCAGCAAAGCCUCUUCGGUGCUUACUUGUCUUAUUCUUUUGAAGUUAUAGCUUUCUUAUUCUUAUCCUUGUUAUAUCUCAGAUUUUAAUGAUGAAAUUAAUUGAUAAAUUAUUGAUUUAAUCCAUAUGUUGAGAUAAGUAUUACAAGAUUGACUUCGAUAAUAAAUAAAGCAUAAAGUAGAUAUUGGGUUAGAGUCGAAGAUUGGACGAUAUGACGACGAUUUGGACGAUGUGCUGGAAGUUCGCCAAGAGUUCAUCGGGAGCUCCUCGAGAGUUCGUCAGGAGUUUGCCAAGAGUUCAUCGGGAGCUCACCGAGAGUUCAUCGGGAGUUCGUCAAAAGCGUGCCGAAAGUUCAUCGAGACUUUACCGGAAGAACAAUUGACAUACUAGAUAAAAAUUAUUUAGUUAAUACCUUAAUUAUCAUAAUUAGAACUUAGAUUGAGUUAGGAUUGGGAGGUAAUCUCACUAACUCAGUUAGGAGCUAAUUGGGCCCGAUUUAGGGUAGAGUUAGGCCGGAUGGAAGGCCCACUCGGCCAUUUAGAGCCUUGCCAAGCGGUGGCACUGCCUAGGGUUGGCGAUGGUACCACCUAGUGUCAGAAUGUCAUGCGAUGGUAUUGCCCAGUACUGAUGGUGGUACCACCAGAACCUCAAAAAUUUGAGAUGAGACACUUUUUGGCUCCAAUUUUGAAGUCAUUGGGGCCUAUAAAUACCCCACUCCUUUUUACAUGAAAAGAAAAUAAAAAAGAACAAAAAAGUGUAAAAAAAUCUUUAAGUGUUGGGGUGUAAAACUGUUGUACUAAGGGUCCUCCUCCUCAUUCUUCAGCUUUAAAAUCAUUAGAGAAGAGGUGUGAGACUUAUAAGGGUUAUCUUCUAAACCCGUGAAAAAGAGAAAAACUUUGUAAAAAGGUGGUUGGUCUUCACCUAUUGAAGGAAGACCAUUAGUAGAUAUCGGUGACCUCGACGGAGGAGGAAUCAGAAGUGGACAUAGGUCACAAUGACCGAACCAUUAUAAAUUCGGUGUAUUCUUUCCUUACUACUUUCUUUCAUUACUUAGCUACACUCUACACUUUACAUUUACUCUAAGUCAUUACUUUCCAAUAUGGACUUUGUCGAAAUGAUUUUAUUGAACAAAAUUUUUCAAAUCAACGUAAUUUUUAUCGCUGCACUAAUUCACUCCCCCCCCCUCUUAGUGCAUCCUAACACUCAUCACUUUUUCAGUUCCAAAUUUGUUAUUCAUUAAAUUUAACAUCUCUUGACAUCAUAACUUUAUUUGUGAUAGGAUUAUAGAGUUUGUAGCUACUAAAAUUCUCAACAUAACCUAACAAGAUAUAUCUCUAGCUUUUAUCCUCAAGUUUUAUUUUUUUUUCUUCUAGUAUCUUAGCAAAUGCAACACUUUCGAAAAUUCUCAAAUGAUUGACUCUUGAUUUCCGUAAUCUCCAUACUCCUUUUGGUGUAACAUUACCAACUCGUCUUAUUAGAAACCUGUUAAGCAAAUAAACUAUACAAGCAAUAGUAUCUUACCAAAAUUCUUUAGUAAUUCUUCUUUCCUUUAACAUGCAUUAGACCAUAUUAAUUAGUCCUACUUUUUUUUCUAGGACACCAUUUUAUUAAGGUGUGUAUGACAUAGUGAAUUGACAUAAAAUUUUAUUAUUUCUAUAAAAAUAUUUAAAUUCAUUUGAUAUAAAUUCAUCACCCCUAUCUGUUCUUAAACAUUUAAUCUUAUAACUACUUUAUCUUUCAACUAAAUCCUUAAAUUCUUUGAAUUUGCUUAAAACUUUUUUUUUUCUUUAACAUGUAAACCCAAGUUUUGCCACUAUAAUUAUCGAUAAAAUUAAGAAAAUACUUGCUUCCUUCAAGUGAUAUUAGACUGAUAGGUCCACAAACAUAUGAGUACGCUAGAUCAAGUCAACAUCAUGUUCUUUUUAUUCUUUUGACUUUGAAAGACUUUUUUCUUGCUUGCCCAUGACACAUACUUCACAUAAUUUUGAUGGGUAAUUAAUUCUUGACAUUCCUAUCACUAUAUUAUAUUUCUCUAGAAAUUUUAAAGCCUCAAAAUUUAAAUGAGCAUAUCUAAGAUAUCAUAAUAUAGAAAUAUCUUUAAUAUCAAUUUUAAAAUAAUUUGAUCGAUCAAAAAAUAUAUAAAUGUAAAGGAAAUAUUAUGUUCUUUACUAUUAUCACAUGUGAUAUUAAAUUUAUAUUCUUAUUAUGAAUUAAAAGAGCAAUAUAUUUCAUCUUAAUAUUAUAAUAUUUUUCAAGUAAUUGUCCUAAGCUCAUAAUAUAAUUUAUCAUAUCAGGAACAUAAUAAAUAUCUAAAAUACAUAAUUCUUUCUCAUUAUUAGAUUAAAAAAAAUAUACUUUUUACCUCUUAUUGCUCUUUGAGAUAUAUCACCAAAUGUAAUAUUCUUGAAAUAAUAUGUGAUUUAUGAAAAUAACUCUUUGAUACUAUACAUGUGAUUUGUAGCUCUUAUAUCUAGAUACAAUAUCAUAGACUAAUAUUCUUUCAAAUUAUUAUAACUCAUUAUCAAAACUUAAUUUUUGUUCUUUUCUUACUCAAUAAAAUUUGUAUUAUCAUCUUGAUUAUUAGGAUUAUAAUAAUAUUUAAAGAAGUAGUAUCUAUACCUUUUACAAACAUAGUAUUGUAUUUCAGAUCUUUUAGAAAUUCUAUCACAUCCAUGGUUUCAACUACGUCCUUGACCAUAACCUCAGCCUUUUUAACUUAAAGUUUCUCCAUCACUUUCAUUAUUUUGAUAUUCUUGAUUGGUCUGAUUUCUAUCACCUCUUCCUCUUUAUCCAUGUUCUAUUCCUCUUUGAAAUUUUGAUUCAUAUUUAUUUUCAAGAAUAAGUUUAGUUUGUAGUGCCUGCUUUAUAGAUUUUUUUCUUCUUUUUGUAAGCUUUUAUUCAUGAAUUUGAAGAGAAUCCGUUACUUGUUCUAAAGAUAUUUGUUCCAAAUAUAUAGACUCUUCAAUUGCUAUAAUAAUAAAAUCAAACUUUUAAUAUAGAGAUCUUAGUAUUUUUUUCUUUUAUUCUUUGAUCACUAAUUUAUUCAUCAUUUCAUCUCAUUUGAUAAAUAUUAGAAAUGACUUUUAAAAAAUAAGUAAAAAUAGAUUUAUAAGUACUUUGUUAUAAUUUUUCAAACUCAGCUUAUAAAUGAAAACUUUUUACCUUCUCCGUACCACCGAAUGCUUUUUGAAGCAUUUCCAAAGUCUUUUUUGAAGUCUUUGCUAGAGUGAUGAUCUCAAAUAUUAUAUCAUCAAGCCCUUGGUAGAUCGUGAGCAAAAUUUUUUUCUCUUUCUUUCUUCUAUCUUUAAGUUGUUUUCUUGCUUCUAUAUUCAUUGCUCCUUCUUCUUCUGUUAGACUUAGUUCAACAAAUCCAUCUUUUACAAACUCUCAUACAUCUUGGGAAUCUAGAAGAACUUUCAUUUAGAUACACCAUAUAUCAUUUUUUUUUUUUGUCAAUCUAGAAAUUUAGAGUUGGAUGGUGCUUAGGGAAGAGGCUAUAGCUUAACUUAAGUUCUAAUACCAAAUAUUAAACUCGAUAAGAAGAAGGGAUAGGGUUAUCACACAAAGAAAUAGUAAUAUAAGGCAAGAUAUUUUAUCUUUCACUCAAAAUUCUUUAUAAUUUCAAAACUCUAUACGUUUCAUGGCCCGAGGCUUAUAUAUUCCCCAAAGAUACAUUACAUUAAUUUUACUCAAAACGAAUCAUCUCCUUCAAGAAAUCCUUUUAAGAAUCAAUUGCUAAUUUGGCUAAUCCUUAUAUAGGCAUUUAAUUUAUUUUUCUUCUUGAUGCAAUGAACCUCUCUAUAAUGAAUCUUUUUUUCUAACCUCUUUAAAAUAUUUUAAUAAGUUUAAUUCUAACACCACAGAUUAUAAUAUAGAUUUGAUGGACUCAUUUUUUUCAUAAUAACUUACAAUUUGAAAAUCGGUCUUCACAAAAUAAUUCAACUCUCACUUAUCAAACUAUUUUAGAAGUGAAUAAUUUAAAUGAGAACAUGAUGAAAUUAAGAUAUGAUAAAAGUAUUAUAAACAUGUAAAUAUUUAAUGGGAAAAACAUAAACAAAGCUAUGAUUAGCAAUACCAUCUUUAUGACAUACAAAAAAAUCCAAGCUUUGGAUAUCCAACGUUAUGACAUCAAGUUAAACUCCCUAAUUUAUUUUUUGGAAUUUAAUGAUAAUUUAAUAAAUAAUUAAUGAGAAAGAAAACCUAAUUUAAGUUGUCAUAUCCACUGAUGAUAAAGAAUGUUGCUCAUAUUAAUUCUUAAUUCAUGUCUUGAUGGAAUACAUCAAGACAUUUGACUCUGGUCCUGCCGUCCAUAUAUAUAUUUGCAUUAAUCACGAAUGCCAAAGUACAUGAUUUUGGGGGGAGAAACCAAAAUUCUACUCGUCUGAAUUAUCUUUCAGGAUAUUUAGAUUUUCUCAAAAGAUAAAAUUUUAGACAUUUUCUGAGAGAUCAAGAUAUUUCAAUUAAAGAAUUUUUUUUCAUGAAAUUAACUAAUUCUAGUCCACUAUGAUGUUUCAUUUUGUACAUGAAUAAAAUUGUUUAUAUGUGGCAUCAGAGCUAUGAUUUUAGACUUAUGAUUUUUUAUUAUUUAAUUUUAUUUUUAUUAUCAAUUAAAAUUAUGAUUAUAAUAUUUUAUGGUAAUUUCAAUUAUAAUUUGUCUUAACAAUUGAAUUUAACUUUGUUUAAGUUAUACCGAUCAUAAAACUCAAUUCACUCUUUUUUUUAAUGAAAUGAAAGUCUAUAAGUCAUAUUAUGGUAAUGAAUUAGAUUAUAACAUUAUAGUUUUAUUUCAUAUAUUAUGAGCUAAAAUCAUGAGUAAUUUAAUAUUUAUAUAUUAAGUGGUUUGUUAGUCAGCAAAGCCGCGAAAGAUUAUGAUUACAUAAACAUCAAUUAAAUAAAGUUCAUAAAUAAACUCUCCAUGAUUUGUGGCUGCUUAUUAAUGAUAUGAUGGUAUAUUUUCUAAUUAUUAUAUUGAUAUUCAUAGUUUAUAAGAACUUUCAGGAUCACCCAAAGGUUGAACUAUUAUUUUUAUAACGCAUGAAUAUAAAUAUAAUAAUUAAUAUAUUCAACUAUAUUUUUUUAUAUAUUUAAAUAUAGUAAAUAUAUUUGAUUUGAAUAUAUUCAAUUAUCAAGUAAAGUGAGAUAUAUAAAAGCAUUAUUGUAGUUAUAUAUCUUAGUUUGUCCGACAGGAUGACUCGGUAAUUUAUGAGAUAGUGUUUAAACUCGAAGCAUUAAAGUGAGAGUAUUUAUCGUGUAUUAUGUAGUGUGUCAUUCUAUCAUUUUAUUAGUAUGCUUCGUUUGUUACAUCAUUUAACAAAUUAAAUUUCUUUGAUUGAUGUGAAUAAGUCUAGUUUCACCUUUGGUGUUUUGAACUUUUGAUUGGUUGAACCGAUUUAAUUAAUCAGCUAGUUUAUUAAAAUGAUGGAAAGAAAAGAUAAUAAUUAUUAAGAAAAAAAAAUUGUUAGAGAGUUGCUUUUAUCAUUUUAAAAAUUUGGAGCUCUAUGUGGAAAUUCCCCCCUAUCACACUGAAAAGCGAAGUAUGAGUUUUAUUGUUGUGCUCGAUGAGACUUGCAAAGGUCCGUGCGUCUACCAUGGUGCAAUAAUGCAUCACGGUUCCCAUCAUCGUAGUGGAAUACGUAUAGCAUCUUGACGGAAAGGCUUGACUUAGUCAAUCAAAUCAUGUGGUGAAUAGGCGACAUGAAACAUGAGAUGAAUGCUCUAUCCAAUCCAAAACCAUCAUCUACUCGUCACGUCAGUUGGAUCGAAGAACAAUCUGGUCCAUCUCUUCCAAUCCAAAACCGUCGAUAGCUGCUCCUUCCAUGAACUUUUCCUGUGCUCAAGGUUACUGAGAUGGAGGGAGAGUCCUUUCACCUACGUUGUGAGGUGACGUCCAUUGUAAUCACCGAGAACUAAACCAAAAUGUCUCUCUAAAAACCUCUCCCCAUCGUAUGUGGUUCUCGCACGACUAACUUUUUUGUGAACGCGUGGUGCGAAUGGUCGAAGCCUCAACUCGUCGGACACCACCUGGUCACCAUUGACUUAGCAUGCCUAUUAAUACAUGAGAUGUAGUCUCACUUGGUAAUUAUUUAGCAACUAUUCGCAGUAUCUGUUUCGUCACUCCUACCUUCUGAAAGCUAAUGCUCAUUCGAAAAGUCAAAAUGGGUUACUAUCAUCUUAUAUUUUUAGCUAUAUCGUAUUAUCAAAUUGCAGAUUGAUAUUACUCGUGUCAUGUUUACUUGUCAGAAGAAGACUUGAACUAGUCCAUUUUGGAUGACUCGUUAAUGCAGCUUCUCCGUAUCCAAAUCAAGACGAGUUCUCAAUAUAUACUAUCCUCUCUCUUUCUGCUUCUCUUCCUCGCCAACUCGCUUUGAAUGGUGACUAAGUAAAGAAAUAAUCAAGGAAAGUGUCAGAUUAGGGUGGGUCUCAACGUAAAGGAGCCAUGCUAGUAAAUUAUAUUAACAUAAAAAAUAUAAUCAUUUUUUAUCACGUGAAAAAAUUUUAAUAUCAAGAACUGAAAUCAAAUAAUUAUAUAUCGAAGUUUAGAUGUAUAUGCCUUUUGAUACUGUUCAGAAAAUCUUUAUCUAAACGUCAUUCAGUUUUAAAUUUAUAACGAUAUUAAUAUAAAGAGAACUAGACUCAUAUUUUUAUUUCUUUCUAUUCUUUUAGGAUCACUGUAAUCUUUCAAUCUAGAAUAAAUAAUUAAGAGAUUGAUUUGAUUAAGUUAAAUCCAUUAGCAAAAACUUUACGCAAUAGUAUUUUACCUGAAAACUUCUAAGUUUUAGGAUUGGACCCUAUGAAUCUUUCAUAUCACAAUGUUUUACAUAAAGUAAAUUACUUUAUGGAUGAGUGAAGGAUCGACGCAAGAAAUUUGGAUGUUUACAUGGUUGAAUAUAUCAUGUUAACAAAGAUAUAUUUUUCCUGAAUUACCAAAAAAAGAUAUAUUUCCCUUAUUAUAUUAUAAAACAAUAUCCUUUUAUUUUCAUUAGUCUUUCAUGUCAGCAAAGUUAUCCUUGGCUUAAUUCACCACAAACAAGCUAUCAUUGACCAUCACCACCAUCGGUCAUGUGGCUUCAUAGGCUUAUAAGUAGCGCCAUUGCAGCAACGCUUCUCCUCCACAACCACAUGCAAGAUGGGUUCCCAGCAUCUUCUAUCCUCUAUGCUUCUACUUCUCUUCCUUUCAAGCUUCAUCCAAAUGGCAGCACUUGGACGUACACCAUCAUCGUCCAAGGUCCAUGAGCGUCUCUCUUCCAUCUUAACAAUUGAUGUCCACGGACUAACAUCUCAAUGGUCUCUUCUGUGUAGCUGCUGUACAUAGUGUACAUGGGAGGGAGGCAACACGAAGAUCCAGACCUUGUGACUGCGUCGCACCAUGAUACGAUGUCUUCCGUACUGGGGAGGUAUGCAUUUUUGCACCAUAUUUAGUUUGUGUUCCUUUCAUCUUUCUGUCAUAUAUGCUCGAUUACAGGUUAUUCUAAUUGGUGAUUCAGCAAGGAGGAAGCUGUGAGUUCAAUUGUCUACAGCUAUAAGCAUGGCUUCUCGGGUUUUGCAGCCAUGCUUACAGAAUCUCAAGCAGAUCAAAUUGCAGGUUCUUCCUUCCUUCUUCAAGUUCUAAUAUGAUUACCGCACAACUGAUGAGAACAAUCCAUCGCUGGUUGGCGUCUUGAGAUGAGAAACAGCAUGUUUAUAGUGAAUAAAUCAUGUCUCCUUUGUUGGUUUAAACAUGUAAAUGGAUCAUGAAAAGGAGAAUUGAUGUUCGUGAAAAGUUAUGAGAAAGGAAAUCGUAUUUAUACAUAUACAUAAUUCUCAAUGAAGAUGAGUAAGCGCCUUCAUCAUAUUGCCCUUUUUCUUUUAUUGGUAGAAUUGCCGGAGGUGAUCAGCGUCAAUCCAAGCCGCAGCGUUCCGCUGCAUACUACACGAAGCUGGGACUACCUUGGUCUUGGUUAUAAACAACCCCAAUCCACAGGACUACUUCGAAGAGGCAACUUCGGCGAUGGCAUCAUCAUCGGUGUUGUCGACUCAGGCAAGCGUUAUAUAUUUAUUUCGUUACUGGCAUCGAGCUUGUUGAUUUGACCGUGUCUUGUGAACUUUGUUUGUAUAGGCAUUUGGCCGGAAUCGAGAAGCUUCGACGACCAUGGUUACGGCCCCGUCCCAUCCCGUUGGAAAGGAACGUGUGAAGUAGGUCAAAACUUCACCGUCAAACACUGCAACCGCAAGAUCAUCGGUGCAAGAUGGUACGCCGGAGGCGUCGACGAUUCCGACAUCAGCGUAGACUACCGUUCUCCCCGAGAUUUUCAGGGCCACGGAACCCACACGGCUUCCACCGCGGCUGGUUCAUUCGUGGGUAACGCGAGCUUCCAUGGCCUCGGUGCCGGCGUAGCAAGAGGAGGCGCUCCUCGUGCCCGGCUCGCAAUAUACAAGGCGUGCUGGGGAAACAACAUAAGGUGCCCGGAUGCCGCCCUUCUAAAAGCGAUAGACGACGCAGUGCAUGAUGGUGUGGACAUCUUAUCACUCUCACUUGGGGCCAUACAGUCCCCAAUCUUUGCUUCCAUACAUGCGGUAGAAAAGGGGAUAACUGUGAUCUUCUCUGGAGGCAACGAUGGUCCCGUUCCCCAGACCAUUUCUAAUGACCUGCCGUGGGUGAUCACGGUGGCAGCCAGCACCAUGGAUCGAUCGUUUCCUACCAUCCUAACCCUCGGAGACAACCGAACCGUGGUGGUGCGAACGUGUGGUUUUCACAGACACGCUAAUACAUUUGAAAGUUUGCAUCUAUUUAUAUUGAAUUAAUUGUUCAUGGUUGCUGCGGCAGGGACAAUCCAUCCUCUAUGAAUCCACCGGAGGAUUCAAAGAGCUAGCAGAUGGUGGGAGGUAACUAUAAUUCGAUUAAAUGUUCUUAAAGAAAAGAGUACCUAGUAAUGUGCAUUUGAUCUAUUGUUGCAGUUGCUCGCGGGACGAUCUGAAUUCGAGUGAUGUAGUCGGAAAGAUUGUGCUCUGUUACCAGCUUGCCAUCGCCUCAAGCUCUCCACCCAGGCGACACUUUCCACUGGCUGCCAGUAAUGUUCAGGAAGCAGGAGGGAAGGGCAUUAUCUUUGCACAGUACUCCGCCAACAUCCUAAGCUUCAUCGACGAUAUUUGCAACGGCACCGUAUGCGUCUUUGUAGAUUACGAGAUCGGCAAACAAAUAAAAGAUUAUGUAACGAAUACAAGGUCUGCUCAACUCGAGUUCAGUUUUCCUAAACAGAUCAGAAUUUUCUUUUCGGGAAUAAUAACCACGGAAGGAAAUUGGCAGAUCCCCGCUGGUGAAGGUGAGCCUAACGCAGGAUAAGGUCGGGAGUGGAGUUAUGUCGCCCAGGGUCACAGCUUUCUCGUCGAGAGGGCCGAGUAUAUUGUUCCCAGAUCUAGUCAAGGUAGGUACAAUUUCUAUUAUCUACUAGAAGCUCACAUUGUUUGGUUCUUUUCGAUGAACUGGUGUGCUCACCAUCACUGCCUUUGGACAGCCCGAUAUCACAGCUCCCGGAUUCCUUAUCCUGGCCGCAGUAAAAGAUUCCUAUAAGUUUGACUCCGGGACUUCCAUGGCUUGCCCCCAUGUCUCUGGCGUAGCAGCUCUUCUUAAAGCAGCACAUCCCCAGUGGUCUCCUGCUGCCAUCAAAUCAGCACUCGUCACAACUGGUGAGUAGAUUGACCAUCCUGUUUCUGCAUCGUUCCGGAGUUCUUCUCUGUCUGCUUUCCUGAUGUUAAAGUACAUUACAACCUCUGUUUUAAGCUCAUACGGCCAAUGCAUACGGCUUCCCCAUAGAAGCAGAGGGAGUUCCUCGAAAGCUCGCCGAUCCUUUCGACUUUGGCGGCGGUCACAUCGAUCCUAACAAAGCCUCUGAUCCCGGGCUUAUUUAUGACGUCGAACCCGAAGACUACUUCAAGUUCUUCAACUGCACUUACGGUCCGUCGACCACUUGUGACUUGGUGGACAGUCGGCUGUAUCGCCUGAAUCUGCCCUCCAUCUCCAUUCCCGACUUGAAGAAGACACCACUGACGGUGUGGAGAACCGUAACCAAUGUGGGGGACAAGGAUUCCAUUUACAGGGCAAUGGUGGAGUCUCCUCCGGGUGUCAACAUGGUGGUCGAGCCUUCUCUUCUCCAGUUCAAUGCUUCCACGACGACGCACACCUUCGCGGUGACGUUCACGCCGCUUCAGAUGGUGCAAGGGGACUUCAACUUCGGAAGCUUGACAUGGUUUGAUGAUGGGAAGCACGCAGUAAGAAUUCCUAUCGCAGUUCGAGUGAUCAUCCAUGAUUCCUUCUCUGAUACUUCCUAAGGCAUCUGCUCUAUGUUGACUACUAUGGCAAUAAGUUAAAUGUUGAAGUUGUAUGGGGAAUAAAAACUAAGGUGUGUAAAAUGCUACCCAAAUAUUGAUGUCGGC